UUGGAUGAGUGGCGAACGGGUGAGUAACACGUGAGUAACCUGCCCUCUUCUUUGGGAUAACGGUCGGAAACGGCUGCUAAUACCGGGUAUUCACUGUCCUUCGCAUGGGGGGUGGUGGAAAGGUUUUUUCUGGUGGGGGAUGGGCUCGCGGCCUAUCAGCUUGUUGGUGGGGUGAUGGCUUACCAAGGCUUUGACGGGUAACCGGCCUGAGAGGGUGACCGGUCACAUUGGGACUGAGAUACGGCCCAG
rnacentral:rRNA from 1 species